rnacentral:rRNA from 1 species
AUUGAACGCUGGCGGCAUGCCUUACACAUGCAAAUCGAACGGUAACGGGCCUUCGGGUGCCGACGAGUGGCGAACGGGUGAGUAAUACAUCGGAACGUGCCCGAUCGUGGGGGAUAACGAGGCGAAAGCUUUGCUAAUACCGCAUACGAUCUACGGAUGAAAGCAGGGGACCGCAAGGCCUUGCGCGGACGGAGCGGCCGAUGGCGGAUUAGGUAGUUGGUGGGAUAAAAGCUUACCAAGCCGACGAUCUGUAGCUGGUCUGAGAGGAUGAUCAGCCACACUGGGACUGAGACACGGCCCAGACUCCUACGGGAGGCAGCAGUGGGGAAUUUUGGACAAUGGGCGCAAGCCUGAUCCAGCCAUGCCGCGUGCAGGAUGAAGGCCUUCGGGUUGUAAACUGAUUUUGUACGGAACGAAAAGCCUUCUUUUAAUACAGGAGGGUCAUGACGGUACCGUAAGAAUAAGCACCGGCUAACUACGUG